GCCUUUGUGGAUUGUGGUGAUCAUCCAUUCCUUAUGAACAGUUUUCUGGAGAGUUGAAUGUAAAUGGACAGUGGGGGUUCGAUUCCCUCCGAGGGCU